UGAAGAGUCCCACCAUAGGACGAAACGGCCGUC
rnacentral:hammerhead_ribozyme from 1 species